rnacentral:lncRNA from 1 species
CCCCCAGGCCCGGGCGGAGAGCUUUUGAGGAGAGGGGAGACGGGGACCAGAAGGGCCCCCAACGAAUCUUUAUAUCUGUGGUGGCCGCAAAAACCUGCCGUAGGAAGAAAAAAACCCCCAAAAAACAACCCGGAUAGGUUUCGUUGACCUGCUUAAUGCAAACUAAAACCAGUUUUCGAUUGGCGAGUUCCAGAGGACGAGGGCUUCAGCCGGGCCCCAGCACCUUCCCGAAAGAUAAUUGGCCCACCUGCUAUGGGACCUGGAGACCUCCUGCUUACCGCGGUCUACAAGAGCUUUGUAACAGUAAUUUCUGCCCAAAGGAGACUUAAAACAAAAAACAAAAAACAAAAAUCCAAAACGAGUAAAAACUAAAAUGAGCAUUUCUGGCAGAACCCAGUCUGGCUCUGCCCGACAUCAGCUGCCCGAGGAUCUGAAGAUUUGGCUUUUAAGGGUAAUCACCAGUAAGUAACUGGUAAAGCUCUUUGCUGCGUCUCCUCGCGAUGCAAAGUGGUCCCAGUAGCCGGAAGGGAAGGGAAGGAGAGGACAGGACAGGACAGAAAAGAAAUAGGAGUCAGCUUCUCUUCUUUCUCAGAGUGGGGGUCAAGGGGAGGGGGUGAACAGCCUGGUCGAAUCUUGGCGAGACGGCCUUGAGCUUCAGCAGCUUUGCCCUUUUAAUUAGCGCCAACUACCUUCUAUCCGCAGCCCUCGGGCUCCGGUGCUCUUCCCCCUCACCCCGGACUUUUUAGAUGUACCAACUCCAUCCCGGGGCCAGGGUUGGGGUCUUCAAGCCUCGAAGAUCCCAAGACCCAGAGGGACAGAGAAAGGAGCCGUGGUCCCGGCGGGCGGGACCUUCUUGGCCACGCACCGAGGAUUUAGGGGCUUCGCGCUGGAUUGGGAACUCCGAAACCAAAAAGAAGGGAAAGGAUGACCCAGCUGAUUUUAGACCCGGGGAAGAGCUGUGCUAAUUCACUCGCUGGACUUCACCUGCAGUCUGUGCAAGGAGAGAUCGGAGUGAGAUCCGUCUUACUCAGUCUACACUCGGACAAAGGCGUCUCGGAUGGCGCCUGCUGCCCUCACUAGAUUUUCCGGUUCCCCUCGGGCUGCCUCAGAACGUGGUGUGGGGACGGGGGCAGGUGUGAGCCAGAGGGACAUCGCGCUCUCCCAGGUAGCUCUCCGGGCCGAAGCUGUUGGCCGGCACGUGGCAGGAGCUUUCUUCUGGGAGUCGAGCCGAGUGCAGGCUCCUUCUGCGACUCCCUGGGUCAGCCCCUGGCCAAAGGCCGCCACUCUAAAGCCUGUCAGACGGCUCCAAGUUCGGGGACCAGCCAGCCAGUGUGCAGAGGAACUCGCGGGUCCCAGGAGCCUGGCGGGCUCUAUCUCCCAUGGGGGGUAGGAAUGAGCACCGUUGCUUUUGACAUUCACUCUCCUGGUGGGGAUUGUAAAGCUCAGACGCUCCUCCCCUCCCCCCAAGACUGGACGCCCCGUCGGGGCUUCGCAGGGCCGGAUUUCUCUUGGCCCAGUGCAAAUUGUAUCGAGCUGACAAACUGACUAGUCACGAACGGAAUUUAGGGAGAUGAAAACGGAAAGUUGGACCCCUUAUCCCACUUGAGACUUGAUAAUGAUGGUGAUGAUGAUGAUGAUGAUGAUGAUGUUAAGCUCUGCCAGCCUGGCUGGUUAGAAUGAGCCAGCAGCUGAGGGAAGCAAUAAAGGGAGAGGAAAUUUCUGCUCUGCACCCGGGGGGAAUCGUCCUGUUUGGGGAAAUCGUGGAGAAAUCACCGCUCUGGGGACAAUGGUGUAGGCUGGAGAGGGGGGACUGAGGAGAGGUGGACAGGACGCCGGCCCAGACCGAGGCACGCACAGUCAACUGUUUUCCCGAGACAAAGACUGCAGAAACGCAAUGCACAAAGAGAGACAUACAGACAUAAUAAAGUCACACACCCCAAUAGACACAAACACACAGGCGGCGGACACACACAGAGACGUACACUACGAGCCUACGGACGCACAAUGCAGAUACUCCCAGCCAUACAACAGGCACACGUACACACCCCGAAGACACGCGCUACUCCCGACACAAGUUGGCGGAUUGGCACGGGGGCGCCCAAGCAAACUAUCUGCAUACCCCAGACACAGUUGCCACACGUAUACUAGAACUACACAACACGGAGCUUUACAUACGGCGCGGACACACACCCACCACAAACAGGCACACUACAUACAUGCAACGGACACAACAUGCAGACCUCAAAGACACGCCCACACUCAAAAGCACGUUUGAAUUUCUCUCUUGAGAGAUUUCAACGAAGCCAAACCUCUAGGAAAGUCUCUCUCUCUCUGCAACUUGGAAGAGAAGGGUUGGACAGCUCUCCGUGGAGUCCCAGUCUCAUACCCCCAAACCCACUCCACGAGCCCGUCCGCCCAGCUUGCCCUUUAACCUCUGUCCCUUGGGUGUCUUUAUUUUGGGGAAUACGUUCCUAAAUUGCUGCUACCUCCAAGGCUUGCGAAUCCAAACGAAUCGAUUUUCCUUAUAGAUUAAAAAAAAGAAAAGAAAAUGUGUGACAGAGACAGAGAGAGACAGACAGAGAGAGAGAGAGAGAGAGAGAGAAGAGAAUGAGAAUAUGAAUAAUCUUCCCUUUCUCAGACUUAAAAGAAUUAACUUCUAGCUCAGCUUUUAGAAUCAGUCAUAGAAGAAGCUACCGAAGAGAAUCCAUAUCAUAACCGAGAGAGCGCCCUUGGUCUGCAUCCCGACUCUGAUACCUAUUUUAUCCUUGGGAACGAACCUCAGUUUCCUUUCUUUGUAAAAUGGGGCUGUUAUGUGUAAUGCUCAUUUAACAAUGUGACUGUGAGACAAACACAGUCCUAGCUGUCAAGCUUUUGGUAAAUCUUAAAGCGUAAUAGAAAAGCAAGUUAUUGAGACUGAAGUUUUGUCCAAAGAUCGAUAGACCUCCUCUCCAAUCGGGUGGACUAGCCCAAAGCCAGUGGACUGCGUGACUUUCCGAUUCAGAGAACAAUUGAAUUGGACGGGAAUAUUUUAUUUUUACAGCAUUUCGUUUGCCUGCGUUUCUAGAGUAUGGUGGCUCCAUCCAGGAAGCUCCAAGCGCUCUCCAAUUUUUAAUAUCAGAGGAUUUAGAAAAUAAAAUAAAACCAAAAAAGGGGAUCCACACCUGUGGAACUAGAGCUGUAGAGCCCCUGCGGGCUAUCUUCUCCUGCCCUCUGGCUAGGUGCUAGAUUUGAUUGUCUUCCUCCUUCCUCUCCUCACCUGCCCCCUCCUCAGUAGCUAUCCACCUCCAACUUUUCCUAGAGAGCGCAAAGUCAGCUAACCAACGAGCACUCGAGCCUCUCUGCUCUCCCCACUGUGGAAUUUUCUCAGUCUCCAAGACUCAGCGGGUUCUAGCUUGCAUUUGUGUUUAUCGCAGGCAAGACCAAAUGCAUCUCCAGCGGCGCCUUUUAGCUCAGUCUCCCCAGCCAUUCCCGAACCUAGCGGGCUAGGCCAGGUACUCAGGAGCCCGUGCAGGCAAACGAAGUCCCGGCAAGUCUUUGAGGUUAGCUUAGGCUCCCUUGACAGGAAGCGACCUGGGAGACUAACUUUCUCUGUUUCUGUGCAGCUCAACCCAGCUCCCAGAGCACCUCGCAAACGUAACCUCAGCUAAGCUUUCCCAUAUUCUGAGGAGGUGGGCAGGGCAGGGCAGAAAUGAUGUUCCCCAUUUGGCAGUGGGGAAAACUGAGGCCCAGAGGGCACCUGACUUGCUUAAGGUCACAAAUUAGAGAUGGAGCCGGGAAGAGAAUUCAGAUUAACAUAAAAAGUUUCAAGGGACUUGAGAAGUCGUCUGGACCAAGCCUCUCGUUGUACAGAUGAGGAAACAGAGAUCGAGAGAGGUUACCCAGCAGUGAGAGAUUGACAUUAGAACCAGAUCCCUCUGCCAAUAAAUCCAGUACAUUUUCUGCAUUUCUCUCUUGGCUCUUUUUAAAAUAAUAAACAAAGGUAACUUCAAUUGUUGACUGGUCCCCUGGAGAUGUGUGUGUGUGUAUGUGUAUGUGUGUAUUUCCACUUGUCCCUACUUUUCCACGAAAACAUGUAAGGUGCCCCUUUACCUCUCCCGGAAUCAAAAAGAGGCUGGGACGCGAGUGAGUUAUUGUUAAUCCCAGCAUCCCCACCUCAGCCUAGCCUUUGUCUUCCAAGACUCCCAGGAGCCUGGUGAGCAGCCGCAUUGGGCAUCAGAAGAAUUCAGGAGUCCUAGAGUCUAGUAAAGAGAUGAGGGGAUGGUGAGCGCUUUAUCCGUUCCUGUUUAGUGGUUUUGAGGUGUGAUGUACGUAGAGGGAGAUCUGGUCCGGAAGAAGGUCGCCAGAGGCAGGAUAGAAAGUAAUGAGGGGGCCGACUUAUCCUCUCCCCCUUUUCUUCAGCAGACAGUCAUUAACGACGUUGCCUAUCCCAAUGAUCACUGUAGGGUCCGAGACCUCCGAGGCAGAAAGCCCACUAGCCCCAUCCCAUGGAGGUGGGACGUGAAAGCCUGGGGCAGUCCAGUUUCCGGGAGCACAGUGUAGAGAAUCUCGCCUGACCGAGACCCAGAAUCUUCAGCCAAUGGGCAACCUAGCGAGUUGCCAAACGAUCGGGAAAGUGGU